UGGUGGAGCGAUUUGUCUGGUUUAUUCCGUUAACGAACGAGACCUCAGCCUGCUAAAUAGGAGACGGGACCAAUAUUACGGGGAGAAGGGCAGAGGGUCUGCGGAGGGCUUCACGGCCUCCCGCGCCUCUCCUGGAUCCUCUUUGAGUCCCGGUUACUUUCCUUCUUAGAGGGACCACUCUGUGCUAUCUUGAAACGUGUGGAAGUUUGAGGCAAUAACA
rnacentral:rRNA from 1 species